rnacentral:rRNA from 1 species
GACGAACGCUGGCGGCGUGCUUAACACAUGCAAGUCGAACGGAGUGGCGAACGGGUGAGUAACACGUGGGUGAUCUGCCUUGCACUUCGGGAUAAGCUUGGGAAACUGGGUCUAAUACCGGAUAGUGCAAGAUGAGCUCGCGGCCAAUCCGCUUGUUGGUGGGGUAAUGGCCUACCAAGGCGUCGACGGGUAGCCGGCCUGAGAGGGUGUACGGCCACAUUGGGACUGAGAUACGGGCCAGACUGCUACGUGAGGCAGCAGUGGAGAAUAGUGCAAAAUGGGCGGAGGCCUGAUGCAGGGACGCCGCGUGGGGGAUGAAGGUUGUCGGGGUGUAAACUCCUUUCGACAGGGACGCGGUACCUGUAUAAGAAGCACCGGCUAACUACGUGCCAGCAGCCGCGGUAAUAC